rnacentral:lncRNA from 1 species
CGAAAUUGAAGGAAAGAUGAGAGAAAAUCGGUUACGGUGGUUUGGACAUGUGCAAAGAAGGCCUACUGACGCUCCGAUUAGAAGAUGUGACUAUGGGACAGAGGUUCAGGGCCGAAGGGGUAGAGGAAGACCUAGGAAAACUUUGGAAGAGACUCUAAGAAAAGACUUAGAGUACUUGGAUCUAACGAAGGACAUGACACAGGAUCGAGCACAAUGGCGUUCUAAGAUUCAUAUAGCCGAUCCCAUUCAGUGACUUGGAUUUUCCAAGUCUCCAACCGAGAAGUUUUCCUCACUCGGGAAAUUAAGGGAACACUACCCCAACCUACAUGCUCCACUCAGAAAGCUUCAACAUACAAGCUUCAACAAAAGAAAAUUCAAAGAACUUAGCGAAGAAGGCUUUGGUGUAUUUAACACAAUACGUUGAAAUGAAGGAAAGCUUAUUUAUUGAUAUCCCCGAUAAGCUACAAAUAUGUACAUAUACAUGAGUCAAAAUAAACACACAAGAGGGAGCCUUCACAAAGGUUGCUUAGGAGAAGUCUGAGCAGUCGGUAGAGCCCCAGAAAGAGAAGGCACCGGAGGGGGAUCAUUUGGAGCCUCAGUACUGGACAGAACCCUAGAAGGAGGAGGCAUCAGAGGUUGAUCAUUUGGAGCUUCAUUACGCGGUACAGCCCCAGAAGACGAAGGCAAUAAAUGCCUUUGGAACAAACCCACAAAUCUCUGAUGAUCAAGUAAAACCUGACCAUCAGUUUCCUUCAUCUGGUCAAGCUUCCUCUUCAUGUUUGUAGCAUAGUCAUGUGCGAGCCGGUGCAACUGUUUAUUCUCAUGCUUGAGCCCUUUAAUCUCCUGUUUGAGACUCAUCACUUCAGCCGCCAAUGAUUCAACUUGGCGGGUUCGAGCAAAUAGGCGUUGGGCCAUAUUAGACACAGAACCUGCACACUGAACACUGAGAGCCAGCGAAUCCUUAACAGCUAACUCAUCAGACCGUUUGGAAAGUAGUCUGUUAUCUUUGGGAGUGAGAAGGUUCCUGGCCACCACCGCAGCGGUCAUAUCAUUCUUCAUCACGGAAUCCCCAACGGUAAGAGGACCAGUAGGGGAGACGAAGGAUGGGCGCCAUAUGUUGUCUGGAGAAGGCGGGGCUGCCUCUUCAACAAGGUUCAAGUCAAAACGACGGUCGGAGGGGCCAGACAUUUUCAAAGGUGUUGAAGAGAGAAGAGGUCGGACAAAUCAAGAUCUUAGAAGUGCAAGAAUGAAGCUUCUACUGGUGGAGAUUCAAGUGUGCUUUAGAACUUAAUGCCAGCCCCUAUAAAAAUCUACACUCGACGGAGCUUCAGAAAUCGAAGAGGCGCCUGCUCAGAAAUCGAAGAGGCGUUUGCUUUCUCAAAAGCUGAGCUGCUUAGAGAUCACGAGGGUUGAUCUCAGAAAUCGAAGAGGCUUUUGCUUUCUCAAAAGUUGGGCUGCUCAAAGACCACGAAGGCCGAUCUCAGAAAUCGAAGAGGCGCUCGCUUUCUCAAAAGCUGGGCUCCCUAGAGACCACGAGGGCCGAUCUCAGAAAUCGAAGAGGCACCUAUUUUUCCAGCCUUGUCAGCACCUGUCACACGCACACUCAGCUUUGCGGAAAUUAUGGGCAUUCUGUCGAAGACUUCUGGGGAAGUAGAAAACACAUGAAUCUUACUGUUCAAUCACCCACUUCCCACACGCAACAAUAGCUCAUGGGUACCACAGAUAACUUUGCCAAAGUUCUCUGCCAAAGUUGAGCACGUGAAGCUUGCAGCUCCCACUACAUCGCUCUGACCAAGAAGGGUAAAAGAAUAGCAAAGAAACAGCACUAACAAAGUUUAGACCCAUAAAUUUUGAAGGUCUAGCUACCAUAUUAUUACCCACAAGGGUAAAGGAACAGUACCACUGCUGGAUAAUUGGAAAGUCCCUGUGUGUCAACCUCUGUGCUUCGUGGCAAGGUAGACUAGCAAACAUGCCCAAUCUUUACUCACAUUCGAGAAAACACUCCCAAUAAGAUUGCUUGCUCCAAAAUCGAAGAGGCACCGUCCUCCGAAUCUCGAGAGAGCCAGACUCCCAACAUGACUACUUUAUUAAAAAUCGAAGAGAGGGUAAAGGAACAGUACCAUUGCUGGAUAAUUGGAAAGUCCCUGUGUGUCAACCUCUGUGCUUCGUGGCAAGGUAGACUAGCAAACAUGCCCAACCUUUACUCACAUUCGAGAAAACACUCCCAACAAGAUUGCUUGCUCCAAAAUCGAAGAGGCACCGCCUUCCGAAUCUCGAGAGCCAGACUCCCAACAUGAUUACUUUCUCAAAAAUCGAAGAGACACUGCUCCCCGAAUCUUCGAGAGCCAAACCCCCAGCAUGAUUGUUUUCUCAAAAAUCGAUGAGGCAUCGUUCUCCGAAUCAAUCGAAGAGGCGCUCGCUUUUCUCAAAAAGCUGGGCUGCUCAGAGACCACGAGGGCCGAUCUCAGAAAUCGAAGAGGCACCUACUUUUCUAGCCUUGUCAGCACCUGUCACACGCACUCAGCUUUGCAGAAAUUAUGGGCAUUCUGUCGAAGAUUUCUGGUGAAGUAGAAAGCACAUGAAUCUUACUGUUCAAUUACCCACUUCCCACACGCAACAAUAGCUCAUGGGUACCACAGAUAACUUUGUCAAAGUUCUCUGCCAAAGUUGAGCACGUGAAGCUUGCAGCUCCCCCACUACAUCGCUCUGACCAAGAAAGGUAAAAGAAUAGCAAAGAAACAGCACUAACAAAGUUUAGACACAUAAAUUUUGAAGGUCUAGCUACCAUAUUAUUACCCACAAGGGUAAAGGAACAGUACCACUGCUGGAUAAUUGGAAAGUCCCUGUGUGUCAACCUCUGUGCUUCGUGGCAAGGUAGACUAGCAAACAUGCCCAACCUUUACUCACAUUCGAGAAAACACUCCCAACAAGAUUGCUUGCUCCAAAAUCGAAGAGGCACCGUCCUCCGAAUCUCGAGAGCCAGACUCCCAACAUGACUACUUACUCAAAAAUCGAAGAGAGGGUAAAGGAACAGUACCAUUGCUGGAUAAUUGGAAAGGCCCUGUGUGUCAACCUUUGUGCUUCGUGGCAAGGUAGACUAGCAAACAUGCCCAACCUUUACUCAAAUUCGAGACAACACUCCCACAAGAUUGCUUGCUCCAAAAUCGAAGAGGCACCGCCCUCCGAAUCUCGAGAGCCAGACUCCCAACAUGAUUACUUCCUAAAAAAUCGAAGAGACACUGCUCUCCGAAUCUCGAGAGCCAGACCCCCAGCAUGAUUGCUUUCUCAAAAAUCGAAGAGGCAUCGUUCUCCGAAUCUCGAGAGCCAGAUACCACAGACCACUUUUUCAAAGUGCUCUGACAGAGUUAAAACAUGUGAAACUGACAGCUCCCACUACCGUGCUAUGACCAAGCAGGGUAAAGGAAUAGCAUUACUACUUGUUGUUAGGGAGACGCCUAUAUAUGUCAACCUCCAUCCCCAACGGACAGGCAGACCUGCAAAAAUGCUCAACCUUUCAUCAUAUCUGAGAGGGCACUCCCAACGAAGCCUUUCGAAAUAUUCAGCUUUCUUUCCCCCCGAUAAUACCUCUGCAAACAAGCUAUACUAGAGCAAGAAUAUCUCAUAUCAUCAGGGUUAAAAGCAAGAGUAUCCCAUAUCAUGCUUUUUCCCUGUCUUUUCCUUUGGCCUUGUUUUUACCUGCAAGACAAGGAGAAAGAGAGCAAUCAGUCAGCACUUGGAAUCAAGCUUCCAGCCAGGAACUGACUGCCUGGAACCCCUUACCUGAUUACUUACCUGGCAUUGCUCUCGAGUACUCAUCUUCAACAUCUUAUGUUUCCAAGGAAGAUUCCGCAUCUGCUUGAGGAACAGAUAGGGCAAGUGCGAAGGAUACAAGGAAGCAUGUGGAGACAAGCGUAACAGCACACGUGCCGAUACAUCCAUUACUCUGUCAAAAGCAAAAGUAUCCCAUAUCAGCAGGGUGGAACGUACUCUAGAUUUGAUGGACUUGUUUUGACCCUCAAAUUCUUCAGUCGGCCUUAUACUCUGGAGGAAACCAGAAAACCCUCCAGCUUAGUUCAAGAAUAAGCCUGUGGAAAGUUACUUCUUCAAAAGCAAAAGUAUCUCAUAUCAUCUCUUCUCAUUUUUCUUCUCUUUAUCCUUCAUGCUGUUGCAAGAUGGGGAGAAGGUGAACAAUCAGUCGGAGCUCUGAUUGCUUACCUUGUCUGUCACCUCUUUCAGCAGACCCCCUAGCUCGGCGACUUGGGGGACUCCUACUACAUGGUUUGUAUCGCGCUUGACCAAGCCUGAAACUACAAGUAAGUUUCAAGUGAAAUUGAUACAUUACCUUGUGCAUCUCCACCAGUUAAAGAUACCACCCCUGGAUGGAGGAAAAGUACUUCCAGAGAAGAUGCCACAUCUACCUAUGAGACAGAUAAGGCAAGUCAAGACGACACCACACUCCGAUACUUAGAACUUUCGUGAUUACGAGAUCAUUCUCCCACAAUAUUUCCUAAUGUCAUUUGUACUAAAUCAUUCACUUGUACUCACUAAAGGAGAGCUUGAACCUAUGUACUUGUGUAAACCCUUCACAAUUAAUGAGAACUUUUCUAUUCCGUGGACGUAGCCAAUCUGGGUGAACCACGUACAUCUUGUGUUUGCUUUCCUAUCUCUAUCCAUUUAUAUACUUAUCCACACUAAUGACCGGAGCAAUCUAGCGAAGAUCACAAAAAAGCGACCGUUUUCGCUACCUAGGAUCUAUCUUGCAAGAGAACGGAGAAUUAGAUGGAAAUCUCAACCAUAGAAUACGAGCUGGAUGGAUGAAGUGUAAGAGCGCAUCCGGCGUGUUGUGUGACCGUCGUAGGCCACUGAAGCUCAAGGGAAAAUUUUAUAGGAUGGCAAAAAGGCCAGCGAUGUUGUAUGGCACAGAAUGUUGGGCGGUGAAGCAUCAACACGUACACAAAAUGGGUGUAGCGGAGAUGAGGAUGCUUCGUGGGAUGUGUGGGCACACGAGAAAGGAUAAGAUUGGGAAUGAGGAUAUCCGAGGUAAAGUAGGAGUAGCCGAAAUUGUAGGAAAGAUGAGAGAAAAUCGGCUCCGGUGAUUUGGACAUGUGCAAAGAAGGCCGACUGACACUCCGGUUCGAAGAUGUGACUACGGGACAGAGGUUCAGGGCCGAAGGGGUAGAGGAAGACCUAGGAAAACUUUGGAAGAGACUCUAAGAAAAGACUUAGAGUACUUGGAUCUAACGGAUGACAUGACACAAAACCGAGCGCAAUGGCGUUCUAGGAUUCAUAUAGCCGACCCCACUUAGUGGGAAAAGGCUUUGUUGUUGUUGUUGUUGUAUUUUAUAGAGCACUAGGACUCACGUAGGCACAUCCGAAGAUUGCUCUCAAUCUAUUUCUUUCUUAAAUAAAAAUUUCAGUAGUUUGUGCCUUGUGGGGUUGGAAAGAAUUCAUUUUUAUGUAGCAGUUAAUUGGGAGUUAUAGAUGGUUGUCACUUCUUUCACCACCCAAUUUUAACCUUUUGUGUUUC